rnacentral:lncRNA from 1 species
GUUUGUUUGGUUCAGUUAUGGGGAGGAUAUGUAUUACGUAAUCUGUGUACAGUCCCUGAAGGCAAGCUGGGGAAAUGACAUGCCUUUUAAUCAAAUCCUGCUUUAAACCCCGAGCUUUCCUGAUUCACCAGGCUAACCCUGGCUUUGGACGAAAGAUUCUUUUGGGGCAGAACUUAAGUCCAACUUGCUUCUGGAGAAUAGAAACCUAAGCAAUCAGUUUCGAUUCUGGUUUAUUACUGUUGGGUUCUUCGUGUGAACAGCUGGAAGCGUCUAGUUUGGGCUGAUUGGAGUAACCACGCCCUGGAGUUUGUACAGAAACAGCAGAGAGGUGUCGUGUCAGCAGCUUCAAGUGACCAUUUGCAACCGGUGUCUUCUAGCAGCUGUCUGGGGAGUCCAGGGCUGACGAAGAGGAGCCGAUAUCCCAGAGAUCAGGGUGCGUGGGGCAAAGUCUCAGCCAUGGUUGGAUUUAUCCCUAUUGCUGUUGGUGCGACUGUUGGAUUAGGUAAGUGGCAAGCUUAUCAAUGAAAAGAACAGGGGAACUGAGAGUUCAUAACACUGGACUUUUUCACUGAGAUUUAUUUAGCCUUGGGUUUACUUGUUCCCCAGAAGCAC